rnacentral:rRNA from 1 species
GACAGAGGGUGCAAACGUUGUUCGGAAUUACUGGGCGUAAAGCGCGUGUAGGCGGCCAGACAAGUCGGGUGUGAAAGCCCACGGCUCAACCGUGGAAGGGCACUCGAAACUGCUUGGCUAGAGUCCUGGAGAGGAAGGCGGAAUACUCGGUGUAGAGGUGAAAUUCGUAGAUAUCGAGUGGAACACCGGUGGCGAAGGCGGCCUUCUGGACAGUGACUGACGCUGAGACGCGAAAGCGUGGGGAGCAAACAGG